GAUGAACGCUGGCGGCGUGCUUAACACAUGCAAGUCGAACGGAAAGGCUCCUGCUUGCAGGGGUACUCGAGUGGCGAACGGGUGAGUAACACGUGGGUGAUCUGCCCUGCACUUCGGGAUAAGCCUGGGAAACUGGGUCUAAUACCGGAUAGGACCACAUUUUGGAUGGUGUGGUGGAAAGUUUUUCGGUGUGGGAUGAGCUCGCGGCCUAUCAGCUUGUUGGUGGGGUAAUGGCCUACCAAGGCGUCGACGGGUAGCCGGCCUGAGAGGGUGUACGGCCACAUUGGGACUGAGAUACGGCCCAGACUCCUACGGGAGGCAGCAGUGGGGAAUAUUGCACAAUGGGCGCAAGCCUGAUGCAGCGACGCCGCGUGGGGGAUGACGGCCUUCGGGUUGUAGACUCCUUUCGCUAGGGACGAAGCGUUUUUGUGACGGUACCUGGAGAAGAAGCACCGGCUAACUACGUG
rnacentral:rRNA from 1 species